GGAGAGGUGGCAGAGUGGUUGAAUGCGGCAGUCUCGAAAACUGCUUUGGGGAAACCCAACGAGGGUUCGAAUCCCUCCCUCUCCG
rfam:Phormidium tenue NIES-30 NIES-30_Scaffold_9, whole genome shotgun sequence.